rnacentral:rRNA from 1 species
AUGCCCCUCGGCCUCGGCCGCCGCAGGCCGCCGAUGCCCGCCGCGGCGGGCGUGCUCGAGCACCGCUCCAGGCCCCGGAACACCACGCGCCCGGACGCGCUGACGCGCGGGCUCUCGGCGGCUAUCGCGGGGCGCCAUGGCCGCGCGGGGCCGUGCGGGUGCCACGGCGGGCGGGAGUUCCUGCCGGAGUCCGAGGAGGAGGCCGAGGACGACGAGGAGGCCCGGGUCAGGAGCGGGUGCGCGCACGCCUGCUGCUGCUGGCGCUGCUUCGGGGCAGCGGCCGCGGCGGCGCCGUUCCUGCAGUCGCCGGCGUUCUUCUUGGACAUGAGGUGGAGGAGGCUCGCCACCGGCGCGGAGCGCGUCCGCAGGGGCGGGCGUGACGGCGGCGGCGGGCGGCGCGCGUUCCUGCCGGAGUCGCACGAGGAGGCCGAGGAGGAGGAGGAGGAGUCGCGCGAGAGGAGCGGCCGCGAAUGCGCCUCCCGACGCCCCAGAGACGCUUCCGCGCGACCCUUGGCCUCGCCGGCUUUGGGCUUCUUUGUCACGAGGAGGAGGAGAUCACGCCACCGCCGCCCAGCGCACCGCGGCGCGCGGGGAGAGACGGGCUCCGAGGGAGGCUCCUCCUCCACGCACGGCGGAGCCGAGCAGGCUGAGGCGGGAUUCAGCAGUGGGAGGAGAGGAACGAGCUUCCCAUCCGAGAAGAGCUCGUCAGCGGCGGAGAGCGCGGCCACCGCCGCGGGGAUGCGGAACUCGAAGUCGCCAUCGUCGUCUUCAGCGCCCGCCGGAGGCGCCGGCAAGGGCGCGAUGGACGCGUGGAACGAGAAGAGAUCCGGCGAGGUCACUGCGGCGACGGCGGCGGCCAUUAGAGGCGUCGGUGGAGCAUUAACGCCGGAGGUGGUUGCCGUCGGUGGUCUGUCUGCGGGGGCGGGGGAGGAGGGAGGGAGUUGUUUAACUUCGUCGUCGCCGUGUCAACGAACGGUUCGUAUAUAA